rnacentral:misc_RNA from 1 species
GCAGCCAUGAACUCAUACGUGAAGCGCUACGUCGGGACCGACCCGCGAGUGACGCACCUCGUCGGCUUCAAGCGGGCAAGCGAACGGCGCCUCGUCGUGGUCUGCGCGCUCGCCGCUCUGGGCAUCUACUCUGCGGUGUACUUAUACGAGGAGAAGGAGCGCAACCGCCGCCACGCGUCCAUCAAGAAGGACAUCGAGAGAGAACGGUGGCGAGCGCGAGAGCUCGGCUUGGCGGCGCCGAUCGACGACGGAUUCGCGGAGCGGUACGAAGCACUCGACGGCAACACUCGUGCACGGCAUCAGCAAGCAUUAAAAGGCAAUGAAUGAACGGCAUCACUCCGUCCCGCUGUCGUGGCGGAUGCCGAGAAGAUGGGCAUGCGUGCGCUCUUUUUUGGAGGUGUUUCUGUCAGGACCCGAUACGUCCCGUUUUUCUGGCACGCUGCUUGCUUCCUUGUAUCUCUUUCUUUCAAACCUCUCCAGUGGCGGUACCACAUGAGCUCAGCGGACGAGGGGGAGGAAGGUGUGCUCGGUGUUGUUGUUGACGGCUGUGGUCACGGAUGUACACAUCAUCAGGCACACCACCAGGGAGAGCCUGAUGCAUUUAUGUGUAUGUGUGUGCGUGUGUGUGUGGCGGGUGCUGCCCAUGCACAGCACGUCGCUGCUGUCUCCCUCAAAAGCAGAAGUAUCAACGCAGCACAGAGAUUCGAUGGUCUUUGUCUCUUCAUCUUACACAGACACACGUACAGGCGCGCGUUGUCGAAUCCCUUGGUGUCGGGAGGGGGGAGGGGGGGGCAGGGGCGUAUACUCUGAGCACCCGUAUGCAGGUGUGCCUCUCCGCUGCGUUGUCGCUCUCCCUCUUGCCUCUCGGAUCACAGGCAAGCCUGAUGCGCUCCAAUCGUAUAGCACGCUCGCGUAUGCGUGAGUGCCGGCAGUCAAAGAGAGGACGAAACUCGAACCGUGGUUUGCUCGCCUCAUCGUGCGCUCCCUCCCCCACGCACACACACCCUCGAACCCUGCGAGAAGCGCACGGCACAAUUCAAAAAGACGCAUCUCUCUGUGGCGCGUUGCCGGUUGACGAAGAAGAAACAUGUGGAGGAGGUGGGGGUGGCGUCAUGAAGACAGAGAAGAGGUGACAUCACUUCUCGCGCGUGCCGGGGAGUGGUUCAUCGCUUAUUGGAGUCCGCGACAGAGAGCAGCUCAAUAAGCGUGGCAUGCACCCCCCCCCUUCCUCCCUCACACACGCACACGCACACACCGACGCAACGGGGGGUCGGUACGCGUUUGCCGCGGUCGGGAUGCCCCUGAUGAUGAGCUGCUGGAGCGCCAGAGCGCGCGCGCUCUCCCUUUACACUCCCGCCCCCCCCCGCUCUCUCCCUCUUCUCAACAG